CCUGCUCAGAGCACAUGCUCAAAAAUGUUUGAGCUUUAGUCGGUCGCCCUUUAAUGACCUGCUGCUAAGAAGAAGAAAGACAGCUCCUGUGUGGACUCAGAAGACGUAACUGCAUCGCCGGUAUGUGCGGACCAAAUGAAGGACUUUCGCAUCUCUUGACACUGAAGCAACUUAAAUCCGUUGAUUGCAUCGCCGGUAUGUGCGGACCAAAUGAAGGACUUUCGCAUCUCUUGACACUGAAGCAACUUAAAUCCGUCGAUUGGUAAGUGUUUGUUUGGCAUCAAAUGUGGAUGGAGGGGAAAGGCUGGAUGCAAAUAUAGCUACAAAUUAGGCAUAAUGCUGCAAUAUGUACAUA